CAGUAACGGCGAGUGAAGCGGCAAAAGCUCAAAUUUGAAACCCUCGGGAUUGUAAUUUGAAGAUUUGGCAUUGGAGAAAGCUAACCCAAGUUGCUUGGAAUAGUACGUCAUAGAGGGUGACAACCCCGUCUGGCUAACCGUUCUCCAUGUAUUGCCUUAUCAAAGAGUCGAGUUGUUUGGGAAUGCAGCUCAAAGUGGGUGGUAAACUCCAUCUAAAGCUAAAUACUGGUGAGAGACCGAUAGCGAACAAGUACUGUGAAGGAAAGGUGAAAAGAACUUUGAAAAGAGAGUGAAAUAGUAUGUGAAAUUGUUGAUAGGGAAGGAAAUGGGUGGAGAGUGGCCGAGGUUUCAGCCGCCCCUCGUGGGCGGUGUACUGCCGACGCCGAGUCAUCGAUAGCGAGACGAGGGUUACAAAUGGGAGCGCCUUUCGGGCGUUCUCCCCUAACCCUCCACACUGCCACCGACGACAUAAUCCACCCAUUUCA
rnacentral:rRNA from 1 species